UCUCCGUAGGUGAACCUGCGGAAGGAUCAUUAUUGUAUAACCGAGGUGCGAGGGCUGUCGCUGACCCGAAAGGUCGUGCACGCCCGAGUGCCCUCACACACAUCCAUCUCACCCCUAUGUGCACCACCGCGUGGGUCCCCCUUUGGCUUGUUCGGAGGGGGGCUUACGUUUUCACACAAACUUUGUAUGCAGUGUAGAAUGUAUUUUUUGUUUUUGCGAUCACGCAAUCAAUACAACUUUCAACAACGGAUCUCUUGGCUCUU
rnacentral:misc_RNA from 1 species